rnacentral:rRNA from 1 species
GGGGGGGGGGGGGGGGGGGGGGGGGGGGGGGGGGGGGGGGGGGGCCUGCGGGGCUGGGGGCGCACGGGUGCGUAACGCGUGGGAACCUGCCCUUAGGGUCGGAAUAACUCCCCGAAAGGGGUGCUAAUACCGGAUAAUGUCUUCGGACCAAAGAUUUAUCGCCUUUGGAUGGGCCCGCGUUGGAUUAGCUAGUUGGUAGGGUAAAAGCCUACCAAGGCGACGAUCCAUAGCUGGUCUGAGAGGAUGAUCAGCCACACUGGGACUGAGACACGGCCCAGACUCCUACGGGAGGCAGCAGUGGGGAAUAUUGGACAAUGGGCGAAAGCCUGAUCCAGCAAUGCCGCGUGAGUGAUGAAGGCCUUAGGGUUGUAAAGCUCUUUUACCCGGGAUGAUAAUGACAGUACCGGGAGAAUAAGCUCCGGCUAACUCCGUG